rnacentral:lncRNA from 1 species
GCCUCUACUCUCUCUUUUUUCGUUUCCCCUUUGCAAGGUGAUGUUAUAAAAUGUUGUUGUUCAAAUUAUCUGCCUUAUGUGCUUGGUUAUGAUGGAACAAAUUUCCAGCUUGUGCUAUCUUGUUUGUUAGUCAAAACCUGAUGCAAUGAAAUGGAUGAAUACAAGAAUUGCUAAUUAUGAUAAGCUGUUGAUGCUUUUUGCUAAAGAUACAGAAAAGAGGGAUGGGGCUAAAGGGG